CGGAGAUCUACGCGCAGGAGAUAAGAAGACACUCUGAUGUUGUUGAUGCUGGAAAGUUUCAAGGUGAUAGCUGUACACCAAAGAAGACUAGCCCGUUUGCGAUGACUGGCAAAACAGUGACACCAAGAGCGCAGAGCGCACGAGCCAGGAUGCCAUCCAAUACUCAAGGCCAAAAUUCUACAAUUGUACAUAUCAAAGAACGAGGGAGCAAUCAAACAAGACAAGCGAGUCCAUCUGYGAAAGUAGUUAAAUGUGUCAGUGUAACACAAUGCGGUAAGACUCGUCCAUACUGCGCAGACCAAACAAACGCCAUUAAACACAAG